rnacentral:rRNA from 1 species
UGGGGAAUAUUGGACAAUGGGCGCAAGCCUGAUCCAGCCAUGCCGCGUGUGUGAAGAAGGCCUUCUGGUUGUAAAGCACUUUAAGCGAGGAGGAGGCUACUUGGAUUAAUACUUUAGGGUAGUGGACGUUACUCGCAGAAUAAGCACCGGCUAACUCUUUGCCAGCAGCCGCGGUAAUACAGAGGGUGCGAGCGUUAAUCGGAUUUACUGGGCGUAAAGCGUGCGUAGGCGGCUUCUUAAGUCGGAUGUGAAAUCCCUGAGCUUAACUUAGGAAUUGCAUUCGAUACUGGGAAGCUAGAGUAUGGGAGAGGAUGGUAGAAUUCCAGGUGUAGCGGUGAAAUGCGUAGAGAUCUGGAGGAAUACCGAUGGCGAAGGCAGCCAUCUGGCCUAAUACUGACGCUGAGGUACGAAAGCAUGGGGAGCAAACAGG